rnacentral:lncRNA from 1 species
CAGAGUCUCAGCCUAGUGGCUAUUACAAUCCAUCACAACCUUCGAUCCCACCUCCUACUUCCAAUGCCGAUCCCCCUUCGCUGCCUCCACCGCCGCCACCUGCUUCUCAACCACCGAGUGCUCCAGUUGAUGCCUAUACUCCACCACCUGAACCAUUGUCACCUCCGCCACCGCCGGCCUCCUCUCCUCCGCCUCCGCCACAAACUCCGGAGUUGUAUCCGCCUCCCCCUUCUGCUGCCCCUCCUGCAGUUACGCCUCCGCCGCCAUUGUCACCUCCACCAGCCGCUAUCCCUCCUAUGUCACCGAUCUAUUACCAAU